CGUAAAGCGCAUGCAGGCGGCCUGUUAAGUCAGAUGUGAAAGCCCGGGGCUUAACCUCGGAAUUGCAUUUGAAACUGGCAGGCUAGAGUCUUGUAGAGGGGGGUAGGAAUUUCAGGUGUAGCGGUGAAAUGCGUAGAGAUCUGAAGGAAUACCAGUGGCGAAGGCGGCCCCCUGGACAAAGACUGACGCUCAGAUGCGAAAGCGUGGGGAGCAAACAGGAUUAGAUACCCUGGUAG
rnacentral:rRNA from 1 species